CUCUUAGCAGUGACGAACUCUGGUAUUGAUUGGUGCUUGCAUCAUGAUUUACAUUUGAGUGAGUGGCGAACUGGUGAGUAACACGUGGGAAACCUGCCCAGAAGCGGGGGAUAACACCUGGAAACAGAUGCUAAUACCGCAUAACAACUUGGACCGCAUGGUCCGAGUUUGAAAGAUGGCUUCGGCUAUCACUUUUGGAUGGUCCCGCGGCGUAUUAGCUAGAUGGUGGGGUAACGGCUCACCAUGGCAAUGAUACGUAGCCGACCUGAGAGGGUAAUCGGCCACAUUGGGACUGAGACACGGCCCAAACUCCUACGGGAGGCAGCAGUAGGGAAUCUUCCACAAUGGACGAAAGUCUGAUGGAGCAACGCCGCGUGAGUGAAGAAGGGUUUCGGCUCGUAAAACUCUGUUGUUAAAGAAGAACAUAUCUGAGAGUAACUGUUCAGGUAUUGACGGUAUUUAACCAGAAAGCCACGGCUAACUACGUGCCAGCAGCCGCGGUAAUACGUAGGUGGCAAGCGUUGUCCGGAUUUAUUGGGCGUAAAGCGAGCGCAGGCGGUUUUUUAAGUCUGAUGUGAAAGCCUUCGGCUCAACCGAAGAAGUGCAUCGGAAACUGGGAAACUUGAGUGCAGAAGAGGACAGUGGAACUCCAUGUGUAGCGGUGAAAUGCGUAGAUAUAUGGAAGAACACCAGUGGCGAAGGCGGCUGUCUGGUCUGUAACUGACGCUGAGGCUCGAAAGUAUGGGUAGCAAACAGGAUUAGAUACCCUGGUAGUCCAUACCGUAAACGAUGAAUGCUAAGUGUUGGAGGGUUUCCGCCCUUCAGUGCUGCAGCUAACGCAUUAAGCAUUCCGCCUGGGGAGUACGGCCGCAAGGCUGAAACUCAAAGGAAUUGACGGGGGCUCGCACAAGCGGUGGAGCAUGUGGUUUAAUUCGAAGCUACGCGAAGAACCUUACCAGUCUUGACAUACUAUGCAAAUCUAAGAGAUUAGACGUUCCUUUCGGGGACAUGGAUACAGUGUGCAUGAUGUCGUCAGCUCGUGUCGUGAGAUGUGGAUAGGUUCCUGCACCGAGCGCAUCCGUAAUAAUCAGUGGCAAGCAAUAGGGGGUCACUCUGAUGAGACUGCCGGUACUACUGAGCAAGUGGAUGACGUCCAAUCA
rnacentral:rRNA from 1 species